rnacentral:hammerhead_ribozyme from 1 species
AUCUAUCUGAUGAGUCCAAAAUAGGAUGAAAUACACGUCCUGAAU